GGAAUCGAUUUUCCGGUUGAUCCUGCCGGAGGUCCUGCUAUCGGGGUUCGAUUAAGCCAUGCGAGUUGAGAGGGUUUAGACCCUCGGCGGACUGCUCAGUAACACGUGGAUAACCUGCCCUAAGGUGGAGGAUAACCCCGGGAAACUGGGGAUAAUACUCCAUAGACCAGAGUGACUGGAAUGUUUUCUGGUCGAAAGUUCCGGCGCCUUAGGAUGGAUCUGCGGCCGAUUAGGUAGUUGUUGGGGUAACGGCCCAACAAGCCAGUCAUCGGUACGGGUUGUGGGAGCAAGAGCCCGGAGAUGGAAUCUGAGACACGAUUCCAGGCCCUACGGGGCGCAGCAGGCGCGAAAACUUUACAAUGCAGGAAACUGUGAUAAGGGAACCCCGAGUGCUCGUACACGCGAGCUGUCCAGGUGUGUAAAAAGCAUCUGAAAGAAAGGGCCGGGCAAGACCGGUGCCAGCCGCCGCGGUAAUACCGGCGGCUCGAGUGGUGGCCACUAUUAUUGGGCUUAAAGCGUUCGUAGCUGGACUCUUAAGUCUCCUGGGAAAUCCGCCGGCUCAACCGGCGGGCGUCCAGGAGAUACU
rnacentral:rRNA from 1 species